AACUUUGCGCAAUGGCAGUAUUGUAGCCAAUGAGGUUUAUCCAAGGUGCCAUUAUUGCUAAUUGAAACAGACCAGAAGUGACUGAUUACAAAUGAACAAUGAUUUCAGAAUCAGCUCUUUGCAUACAGUUACAACAUCAACUG